ACGUAGGGUGCGAGCGUUAAUCGGAAUUACUGGGCGUAAAGCGUGCGCAGGCGGUUUUGUAAGACAGGCGUGAAAUCCCCGGGCUCAACCUGGGAACUGCGCUUGAGACUGCAAGGCUAGAGUACGGCAGAGGGGGGAGGAACUCCAGGUGUAGGAGGGCACUUCUGUAAUCCUUGGGGGACCACCAAUGGCGAAGGCGUCGCACCAGGACGUCUUCGACGGUGAGGAACGAAAGCUGGGGUAGCAAACGG
rnacentral:rRNA from 1 species